rnacentral:tRNA from 1 species
GCCGGAGUCGCCUAACAUGGUAUGGCGCAGGCCUUGAGAGCCUGUUUCCGAAAGGAUGUCAGGGUUCAAAUCCCUGCUCCGGCG